ACGGGUGCGUAACGCGUAUGCAACCUACCUUAAUCUGGGGGAUAGCCCGGAGAAAUCCGGAUUAAUACCGCAUAAAAUCACAGGAUGGCAUAAUCCAAUGAUCAAACAUUUAUGGGAUUGAGAUGGGCAUGCGUGUCAUUAGCUAGUUGGCGGGGUAACGGCCCACCAAGGCGACGAUGACUAGGGGAUCUGAGAGGAUGGCCCCCCACACUGGUACUGAGACACGGACCAGACUCCUACGGGAGGCAGCAGUAAGGAAUAUUGGUCAAUGGAGGCAACUCUGAACCAGCCAUGCCGCGUGCAGGAAGACUGCCCUAUGGGUUGUAAACUGCUUUUAUCCGGGAAUAAACCUAUCUACGUGUAGAUAGCUGAAUGUACCGGAAGAAUAAGGAUCGGCUAACUCCGUGCCAGCAGCCGCGGUAAUACGGAGGAUCCAAGCGUUAUCCGGAUUUAUUGGGUUUAAAGGGUGCGUAGGCGGCCUGUUAAGUCAGGGGUGAAAGACGGUAGCUCAACUAUCGCAGUGCCCUUGAUACUGAUGGGCUUGAAUGGACUAGAGGUAGGCGGAAUGAGACAAGUAGCGGUGAA
rnacentral:rRNA from 1 species